rnacentral:lncRNA from 1 species
UAGGUUAUAAGGAAUCAAGAUCACUGGCCAUGUAGUAUAAGUCACAUUCAACAUCCCAAAUGGAUUUGAAGCCAUCCGAUGCUAGUCCCAGCCUAACAUUACAUGGAUCACUUGCAAAUGCAGUAUACUUGGCAUCUACGUGCCUCCAUGCCUUUGAGUUAGCUGGGUGCCGCACUUUACCAUCUUCAACCAAUUCUUCCUUGUGCCAACGCAUAUGUGCCGAUGUGGUCUCGUUCAUAUAUAAUCUCUGCAGUCGAGGAAUAAGUGGAAAAUACCUCAGUAUCUUACGAGGUAAGAGCUUCUUAUUUAGUCCACCAAUGCCAUCACCACCACACUCUAAAUAUGUAUCUUUCCACCUACUCUCCCC